rnacentral:rRNA from 1 species
AUGCCGUGCGCGCGACGAGCAGCGGCGGUCGGGGAGGCGAGGAGGUCGCGGAGGACCUGCGUGGUGGCGCAGAGGCCGCGGCGGCUCGGCGCAACGACCGUGGAGGCGCAGUGGCGCGUGGCAUGGAGAUGCGGCGCGUCGGCGGAGGCCGCAACGGCACGGUGGUACGCCAUGAAGAGACGUCCGAGAAGGCUCGCGUUUGAGCUCGACGGCAUCGACGGCGUUUGUCGACGAGGGACGUCAGACGUGUGUCGCCGACAGAGAAGGAGCUCGGCGUAUGUCGCCGGAGACGACGAAGCAAGCACGGUGGCGACCGGCGUCAGCGCGCCAGGUCGAGUCCGUGGCGGUGGUGACCGGCGUCAGCGCGCCAGGUCGAGUCCGCGGUCGUGGCGACGUCAUAGCUUAGGGGAUGUGUGUUGGAAUAAGCCACAGCGUCUGGUGCCACCCCCACCUGUGGCGGUUCCAGCUGUGCUUUGUGGCGCCGGUAGCUCGGUGCCUCGGCUUGCACCCAACUCUAAGUUUUGGAAGGUGUACCAAAUUGGAGGGGACCCCUCACCCGAGAUAGAUUUUCCGGGGCUGUGGGAGUCGUCCAGCAGCACCACUCAGCCGCUGGUGGACAGCACCGAGCAGGAGGCCGUCGGCGAGCAUCAUGGACCUCACCUUGGCUUGACUGCUUGA